AAUUUCCAUGAGCUGCGCACCAGUUCUUGGGAAGCUCUGGUACUCCCCAUACUUGAGGAAGACGGGCGUUAUGAAAGAGACACAAGACACGGCCCCAGGUCAUAAGGAGCUAAGUCCCUGGAGAAAGGACUCAGAAACACUUGCCAAGAAAGCAAGGGAACAAACAGGUUGCAAAAUCGUACACCAAAGGUCAAAGCAUGGAACUAAUCCGGAAAGCUGUUCGGACACUGCCUUGAUUGCACUUCCUCCCCACAGACGGCUCUGCCCAUGGUGUGCUGUUUUGGACACAGCGCCUCUUCUAAAUUCUCCUGCCUCACUUCGCCCUCGACCCUGACUGUGUAUCUCACAAAGAAGCAGUGUGAAGAUGGGGGAGGAAGAAUCUGGACUGUGGGGAGGACGUUGUGAACAUUUAGAGGGGAGCACCCACCAGGACUGAGGUACCCAGCCUGACAAAACGCCAUCUCCGUCACCUUGGAAGCAAGGCCUCUAGCUCAGAAGGAAGGGGGCCCUACUGUUAUGGCCGUGUUCGCCGGGAAACACACACACUGCAAGUUCUGUUAUUCCCGGAGCACGGAUGGAUGGAUAAACUCACGAAACUGAGCUCCAAGUGGCCAAUGAGGAAGUAGGAACAUAGGUUCACUUCUUACUUCAUGUUAAUAAACUACCACUCCC
rnacentral:lncRNA from 1 species